AAUUCACGUGACCCAGUAAAUUAGCCACAGUACCAUGUGUUAAUCAACAUUAAACUUGUUUGCAACCAUUAAGCACCGCCCUAAAUGUAGACACGUGGAACAGCUACUUCCGCGGUGAGAUUUUCUGUUAUUCACCAUAAAAACGCCUGUGGGUCAAACAUGUGGUGGGAGGUAAACGUCAUGCUUUCUGAACACCGCUGUUCGAUAACGCGGACAGAAAACAUCAGCUAAUAUCUAGCAUGUUGUUCGGGGGGCAGUGGAGAGAGCGCGCCUGAACCGACUCUCCGUCGGUUGCUACUGCUGCUAGCGUGAGGGGAAAAAAAACUGACACGCGGGCGCGCGCACACAACACACACAGGCGCGAGGGAAGGCGAGCGAGAGACGCGGGGGGGAUGGGGCUGGUCACACAAACGCGUUCCUUUUAACUUACCCGUGACAAUUACAGUAACCCAAAGCGCAUAUAAGAAGCCGAAAUACACAAGUGAAUGCGAGGCAGAGUGUGUGUGUGAAAAAGAUCCGUACCUGCUCUCCGCUUAACCCGAGUGUCGCCGUUGUUUGUUUGUUACCGGGGGACUCGGUCCGACCGUCCGUCCUCUCUGGAGUUGUAUUUCAGCCUAAGGACAGGGAGUCCACAGGAGGACGAGACUAAGCAAGUCGUAGCUCUCUGACAACAACCAGGCAGAGACAGAAAGGCGGAAAGUCUGUAAAAAGAAGAGGGAAGACAAGGGAGGGGACAGAAAUGUUUACCAAACAGGACACAGGGACAAGUCUCUGUGCUGUCAACCAACAACAGAUCUAAACCUGUCCUGAAAUCAGUUGGUUAAUAAAAAUCCAAUGUAGGAGAACAGAAUGCUUCACCAAAAUUUCACACCUACUUCUAAUCUACAAACACAACAGUGGGGCAGAGCAAAAGCAGAUGUUAACAAAGCAAACCAAGACUUGUUUGCAUUUUUAAAGAACCCACAGCAGGGUUCUUUAAAUUUUUUAGAGAAGCAGAUAAACUGUUAACCACACUGGUUCAUUGUUUCUCCUCAUUAAACCAACAACAUAUAUCUUAUUUGUUUAAUGAUGCUCUAACAUUAAUUCAUGUGUCUUUCAUGUUCUCUCAAUCUCAGUCUUUAUUUCCUUUUAUGUGAACAGCUUUUUCAAAGGAGACACAGUCGAGACUUUCACAUGACUGCCCUGCCACAAAUGCCCGCUGAGAUUUUUCCCUAGCUGCAAUAAUGCAUCAUAUUCAAAAUCAACUGCAACGUCCACGUGAAAUUGGUUCGGUCCUGACGUCAGUGCACAAUUUCAG